GACGAACGCUGGCGGCGUGCCUAAUACAUGCAAGUUGAGCGCUGAAGGUUGGUACUUGUACCGACUGGAUGAGCAGCGAACGGGUGGGUAACGCGUGGGGAAUCUGCCUUUGAGCGGGGGACAACAUUUGGAAACGAAUGCUAAUACCGCAUAAAAACUUUAAACACAAGUUUUAAGUUUGAAAGAUGCAAUUGCAUCACUCAAAGAUGAUCCCGCGUUGUAUUAGCUAGUUGGUGAGAUAAAGGCUCACCAAGGCGAUGAUACAUAGCCGACCUGAGAGGGUGAUCGGCCACAUUGGGACUGAGACACGGCCCAAACUCCUACGGGAGGCAGCAGUAGGGAAUCUUCGGCAAUGGACGAAAGUCUGACCGAGCAACGCCGCGUGAGUGAAGAAGGUUUUCGGAUCGUAAAACUCUGUUGGUAGAGAAGAACGUUGGUGAGAGUGGAAAGCUCAUCAAGUGACGGUAACUACCCAGAAAGGGACGGCUAACUACGUG
rnacentral:rRNA from 1 species